UACAGAGGUCUCAAGCGUUGUUCGGAUUCAUUGGGCGUAAAGGGUGCGUAGGCGGCGCGGUAAGUCGGGUGUGAAAUCUCGGAGCUUAACUUCGAAACUGCAUUCGAUACUGCCGUGCUUGAGGACUAGAGAGGAGACUGGAAUUUACGGUGUAGCGGUGAAAUGCGUAGAUAUCGUAAGGAAGACCAGUGGCGAAGGCGGGUCUCUGGACAGUUCCUGACGCUGAGGCACGAAGGUCAGGGGAGCAAACGGG
rnacentral:rRNA from 1 species